AGAGUUGAUCAUGGCUCAGGAUGAACGCUAGCUACAGGCUUAACACAUGCAAGUCGCGGGGCAGCAUGAAGUUUGCUUGCAAACUUGAUGGCGACCGGCGCACGGGUGAGUAACGCGUAUCCAACCUUCCCCUUAGUAGGGCAUAGCCCGGCGAAAGUCGGAUUAAUACCCUAUGUUAUUCGUCGAGGACAUCUGAAGUGAAUCAAAGGUUUACCGCUAAGGGAGUGGGGAUGCGUCUGAUUAGGUAGUCGGCGGGGUAACGGCCCACCGAGCCUUCGAUCAGUAGGGGUUCUGAGAGGAAGGUCCCCCACACUGGUACUGAGACACGGACCAGACUCCUACGGGAGGCAGCAGUGAGGAAUAUUGGUCAAUGGGCGUAAGCCUGAACCAGCCAAGUAGCGUUGCAGGACGACCGGCCCUAUGGGUUGUAAACUGUCUUUUAUGCGGGGAUAAAGUGCACCACGUGUGGUGUUUUGUAGGUACCGCAUGAAUAAGGACCGGCUAAUUCCGUGCCAGCCGCUGC
rnacentral:rRNA from 1 species